rnacentral:rRNA from 1 species
AGAGCUCAUCAUUGGAAUCUGGCGGUGUUGCACCGUCCGAGUUGUAGAUGAGGAGUGGUUCAUCUGGACUGCAUGGCGUCCAAGUACAAUAGGCCGUCAGUGGGACAUCAUAGAGGGUGACAAUCCCGUCCUUGAUGCCAAUGUGCAAGUCCAUUACGAUGGCCAUCUCAGAGAGUCGAGCAGUUUGGGAUUUGCUGCUUAAACAUGGGAGGUAGAUUCCUUCUAAAGCUAAAUACAGGCRAGAGACCGAUAGAGAACAAGUACCGCAAGGGAAAGAUGAAAUAGCACUCUGUGAAGGGAGUCAAAAGGCGUGAAAUUGUUGCGAGAGAAGCGAUUCAAGUCAGCGUAGCUAGGCCCAUUAAGCCUCUUUGCGCUUUGGACUAGCUUUGCCAGCGGUCUUGUCCUUAGAGACUUGACUUGUAUGUCCAGCCUGGUAUGCACAGGUAGCCCUCCGGGGUCAGUGACAUGGCUGGUGGAAUGGCUUGCAAUCGACCCGUCUUGA